CACAGUAUAUAUUAUAUAUAUUUUUUGUAUGAAAAUAAUAAGUACUUCUAUUGUGAUUUUGAUUUCUUUGGUGUAUCUGUUUUAAAGCAAAGAGACAACCUAAAACCUGACCAAGAGCCUGUUCCUUGUCUCCUCCUAAGAUGGCCUUUCUCUACGACUUACAGAGUACUAUGCAGAAAUAUGUUAUCAAACGAACUCACCCAACUUGAACCUACUCAAAACAUAGUGAAAAUACUUGGCUUCAUCUGACAAAACCCUUUUUUGCAGUUUGUUUGCAUCUCAGUUCUACUGACAAAGAACGCUCAGACGAUUUGCAAUAAACUCCAUCAUAACUGUUUUUUCAAUUGUGUAUGAGUUGGUAAUAAUGUACUUGACCAAACCUGCCUAUGUGUACCAGAAACAACAUUUGCUUUAAUUUUGUUGGUGACAGAGAAAUAUCUAAUUAUUAUUGGUUUAGUGGCAUUUGGAAUUAUAAAUGUAACCUGCUAUGCAGUUACCUAUCCAGUUACAUUUGUGUCCGUUGAUUGUAUUUAAUCCGGAAUACUGGUAGGAAUACUCCAUUAUGAACCACUUCUGCAUAAGGUUAGACUCAAGUGAAAACAUAUUUUUGGAGGGGGCUUUAGUCUCAGAAUUCCUGGACACAAAUUAGUGAUAGCAGAAAACACUGGGCCCUUAAAGUAGGUCUGCUGUGUUUUAACAUGUAUAUAAUUUCUGAACCAAGUACAAGAUAAUUUUCUGUUUCAAUUUGAUUAAGUAUCCCUCAACCAGUGUUCCCUGAGAGGGUUUUUGUCAUUGCUGAAUGUCACUGACUUUUGGUUAGUCUUACCUCAACAAUUGCUCUACAAGUGCCUGAUUUCUGGAGGGUUUUUAAUUCCGCAGUGCCACGGUCAGUCUUUACCACCUCAUUAACCCUCAUUAUUCCUGAGUUGCAAAGCUGGAAACCUUAGCCUUCACAUCUAGCUAAAAAUCCGAACAGACAGCGUUUUCUUACCACCAGUCCUGUGUUAAAACACUGACCUGGCUCUGUGUACAAUAGAUACGAGUGGACACUCUGAGAGGCCAUUAAAAGCACACUGUCUAUGGCCAAGAACACUCCUAUGCAGGCUGUUUUGAUCUAACAGGCACUCACUAACAGCAGCAACACCUGAUGCUGCUCGGAUAGGGGGACUUCAUGGUGCUGCAUGUCUUACCCAGGUUAUUUUGUGUAAACCGUGUUCUGUGUGGAACAGCUAAUAUGUCCUGUCAAAGGAUAACCAGUAUUUAGAAUGUGAGAAUAUGGUACCAGACCACAAGUCAAACCGAAUUUGGGCCAUCUGGCUUGCUAGGGCAAUGGUGUCUCAGUGGUGUUCUUUUUAAGUCUUUGUCCCAAGACAUGGAAAAUAUGUGAUAGCAGUACAGCAAUGGUAGCUUUCUAUGUUUUAGAAUUAUUUCUUUCCUCCCUAUUGCAUUAAUUAUUACAUAGGGAUUUCACUCCAUGUAAACAAUAGAGAGGAAUGGUUCAUGCAUUAUAAUCCCCAUGUUACAUCUUAACAGUGUUUUGGACAUUUACAUCAACUGAUAAAUAAUUACUGCUUUCUGAUUUAUAUACAUUUACAUGCCAGACCACAGCCAGAAUGUUUAUUGGUCAAUGGCGGUAUAGUUCUUUUUUUUAUUUUAUUAUACUGGUCUCUAUUAUGCAAUUAUUAAAGACCUUUAUCUAUGGAGCCCAUUAGCAUGUUACAUGAAGAUCUGUCUGUAGGUGCUAUAGGUGUAGGGUUUAGGGAGUGUCUACUUUAUGUUUGGAGGCCAGGGUAUGUUAAACAAGGAGCGUGGAGUGAGCUUGCAAAGUUGGCCUUUUCAAUAGCGCCACAGUGUGGUCGAUCGAAAUGUGCUUGCACUCAUUUUCUCCUGACAUUACUUGAUCUGUUCCCGGGUGUAUUAUGCUUUCAUUGUCCAUGCUGGAGUUGUGACCAUACAUGUGCCAAACUACACCCAUGGUAAGUCUCAUUGGUCUGUACAGCCGUGGUCAAAUUCUUGAACCUUGUUCCACAGGUGGAAAACAGUCAUGUGUGUGAAGACUGGUCAUGUCGUACUGUAGGAAUAGCUCUAAACGCUUUUUCCCAAAAUACAAAUUGGAGGAAAAUACAAUAUGGUGAACUUUGAGUCCCACUGGCAUGGCAAUGCAAGACCGGGUGUGGCCCAUGGACCUUUAUAUUUUUGGAAUUUUGGAACAUUAUCAUAUUCAUACCAAAAGUGGCAAGAGUAUUUAUAAUCAUUAUGAUUAACGCCAGGGUUUCACCAAAUUCAUUAUUGAACCCCUGAAUAUUUUGAAACUUUAGUCAAAGAAUUCAAAGUAAUAGUGCAGUUAUUUUGGGGAUUGAACCAAGUGAAAUUGUCCAUGUGCAGUUCGAAAAUGGUUUUAAAAAAUAUUUUUGGAGACAGGAUCUUAUUCCCAAUACAUCCUUACCAAUAUAGACUGCAGUAAAUUCCCACCAAUAUUUUAAAACAAUAAGUGGAACUGGCGCUUUCCAAGUUGGUUAUAUGUACUUCAAUCAAAUUUAUUUCAAUCAAAUUUAUUUAUAAAGCCCUUUUUACAGCCGCAGAUGUCACAAAGUGCUUUUAAAAAACACCCAGCCUGAAACCCAAAGGAGCAAGCAACAACAAAGUUGAAGCACAGUGGCUUGGAAAAACUCGUAUUUAGGAAGAAAUCUAGAGAGGAACCUAGAGAGAGAAACUCAGAUGGAUGAUCAGUCCUCUUCUGACUGUGCUGGAUGAACAUUUUAAGAGUACAACU
ensembl:lncRNA